GAGCUUUUGGCUUCUCAGAAGUCA
rnacentral:miRNA from 1 species